GAAGGUUGAAGGGGGCUUAACCCCAUUAAUAUCAUACCACUGAGUCACUGACUGUAGCCUCGUGAAAAGCCCAUCACAGUUCACAGAUGACAGAUCAAACCAAGAGUUGGGCUUUGUUUUUUACAGUACUGUAAUAAAACUAGCCCAAAAAAGGUGGGCCCACAGUUUGCCAAGAAUAAUGGGCUCGGCCCGGAAUAAUGCGUAUAAACGAAUGGUAUCAACGUCACUGUAAGCAUCGACCCCAAUCCACAAUCACACACGAACACAAAUGGCAAUGGCGGUCCCAAUAUCUCUGAAACUCCCGGGGUUCGCUUCUUCCCCUACACGUUCAAAGACAAUCACUGCAUUUUCUUCUGUAAAAUUCAAAUCUCAAUCUGUCAGUACCUUCUGUUUAGAACGAAAACACAGAGUUCUCGUCUGCAAGGCCGUUGAGGAGAGCCAAGAAGAGAGCGCGAGGCCAGAGGUCUUGACCGGAAAGAAGUCGCCGAAGAGUCAACCCGUUGAGUCGAGCGAGUUGGGAGAGGAGAUCAAGAAGGCAAUGAAAGAGAGGAAAGAGAAGGAAGGGGAAGGGGAUUUGUGGAGCGGAGUAGCUGAGGAGAUUAGGGAGAUCGAGUGGCCGGCGUUUGGGAAGGUUAUGGGGACCACGGGGGUUGUGUUGGGGAUUAUUGCGGGAUCGAGUGUGGUCUUGCUCACUGUAAAUGCUGUCUUGGCCGAGCUCUCCGAUAGGGUUUUCGCUGGUAAGGGCGUUCAGGACUUCUUUGGCUAAUGGAUGCACCAAGCUUAUCAUCAAAGCAAUGUCAGAUUGUCAUUUUCUUGUAUAUCAACGAUAUUGUCCGCUUUGAGUUCCAAGAACACUUUGAAUUUACCGAUUCCCGUAACAAUAUUGUCUCCGUAAAUAGAUUAGAUCCACACAACUUUGUUCUUCCUGCGUCUUGCCACUUGAUGGUACUUA